rnacentral:rRNA from 1 species
AGUGAACGCUGGCGGUAGGCCUAACACAUGCAAGUCGAACGGCAGCACAGUAAGAGCUUGCUCUUACGGGUGGCGAGUGGCGGACGGGUGAGGAAUACAUCGGAAUCUACUUUUUCGUGGGGGAUAACGUAGGGAAACUUACGCUAAUACCGCAUACGACCUACGGGUUAAAGCAGGGGAUCUUCGGACCUUGCGCGACUGAAUGAGCCGAUGUCGGAUUAGCUAGUUGGCGGGGUAAAGGCCCACCAAGGCGACGAUCCGUAGCUGGUCUGAGAGGAUGAUCAGCCACACUGGAACUGAGACACGGUCCAGACUCCUACGGGAGGCAGCAGUGGGGAAUAUUGGGCAAAGGGCGCAAGCCUGAUCCAGCCAUACCGCGUGGGUGAAGAAGGCCUUCGGGUUGUAAAGCCCUUUUGUUGGGAAAGAAAAGCAGCAGGUUAAUACCCCGCUGUUCUGACGGUACCCAAAGAAUAAGCACCGGCUAACUUCGUG